UAGACUGACAAUGGCGGACCCAAAAGCCAUUUUUAGUGACAGCGAUGCUAACCAUAGUAACGACAGUAGCACGCUGGACAAGGAACCAAAGUGUUUGAAAUGUGGAAAAGUACAGAACAUGAUGAAACGUUGCACACGGUGUCGAUCUGCGUUUUACUGUUCCCGGGCCUGUUUUGUGAAACACUGGCCUACCCAUAAAGUCUUUGCCAGGCAGACAACAAGUCAGGAGUAAACAGUGAAGAAGAAGCAUCCAGACUUUACAGUGCGUUGUGUCUGUCAGGAAAUAUCGACAGGACCAGGCUUAAACAGUGGUGAGACAUUUGUGGAAACUUCAUCAUUGGAAGGUCUGAAUGAAGCCAGUCAUACAACUAUACAGAAACAGCAAAGUGCAGCAGAGGUGAUCAUAGUUCUUAAGUUCAUGAAAGAAAAAAAGAAAUUAAUAGUGCAGCAGGACUGGGAAGGGGAGGUUAUCAUUAAAAAGAUAAGUGAUUUUCUCAUGAUUGUGCCGAAUACCAUGCGCCUCAUUUGUAAAGGAAGGCAACUCAGUUAUGCAACAGUGAGAGAAGUUAUUUCCCCUGGAGUUGUUAUGCAAGUGAUUAGGUGAAAAACUACAAGAUGCUUCGGGCUUAAAUCUCAAAGAUGUUGAAGUUAUGAUGACACAAAUGAAACUUACAUGGAAUGAAGCUGUAGGUGCUUUGCGCUUGACCAAUGGAGAUUUGAUUGAUGCUAUGGUAUUGGCUGGAAACAAAGCCUAGUGAUACUUUUUCCUCAUGAUGACUGUUACCAGCUUCUUAGGCAUGCACACUUAUCAGUAGGCAUCAACUGCAUCAUACAAAUUCACAUUCAUUCAUCAUCAUUAAGAUCAUAACUACUCACUAAGUCUCUCUCUCUCUCACACACACACAGGCUGGAGAAAGCCUGAAUACCCAGAGAAACCCUGAACAGUUGGCCCUGUGAGUGUGACCGUUUCUUUAACCAGUUCACCACCAACUUGCCCCAGUUAUAGAGACUAGUCCAUAAUCAUUACCAGUUCCAAGGAUUAAUUGGACUUAGUUGUCCAUAGUCAUACCAGUGCCUAGGGACUGGUGUGUCUUUUUAGCUGGACACGUUUCUAUGGUGUUGCCUGCUGUGCCUGUUGGAAAUAGCAUACCUUGCAUGCUGUAUGAACAGAUUCUUAUGCUUAAAACUGGCAGUCACGCUUGAGGGUCUUGUCUUUACUGUGAUAAAGAGAUUAAGAUUUCAGCCACUUUGACCAGGUCACUGCAUCUCAGAUAUGUUUUUAUUCCAACUAUUAUUGCACACACAAUGUAUGUGUAUAUAUAUAUACACACACAUGAAAACUCUCUUUCAAAGGUAGCAUUUGAAAAACUUGUUCUGCCAUAAAUCAGGAUUUUCAUGAACCACUAAUUUGAUUGAUAUGAGAGGUUUUCUGCUACUUUAUUCUUUUUUUCCAACAGUGACAUAGUUUUCAAGUUUUUCACCCUGAUGAUGUAACUCAUGAGUAGUAACCCAUUGAGCAUCUGUUCUAAGACUUCGUCUGAAGUGAUUGUGAAGUGGUUCAAAUCUUAAUUUGUCAAUUGUUAUAAGAAAACCUUGUUUCCUUGUUGUUGAUGUCAUAUGAAUCAUUUAAGUGUAUUCCCUUGCCUUUGUAUAUUAAGAUGAAUUAUGUAGAACUAAAUAAAAAUUUGUAUAAAUUGGGAAAUUUUUAAAACUGCAGUUAGAUAUAUGAUUGAUGCUAAAACAAAAUGUCCAAACCAUUGCAAGAAAACGAUUGCAUAAAAGAUUGAGACACUGGUGUGUGUGCAUGCAUAUGUGCACACAAGUGUGCAUGGAUCGUAUUUGAUGACCAGUUGGUGAGACAUUGAAAUCUCCCACAAUUAAGGAAUUUGGAUCUUGAUGAGCCCUGACUUUUAAUGUGGAAAUAUUUAUGUCUGAUAUGAAUUGGUUUAAUAAAUACUUUGUUCCAUGAUUGACACUAUGUAAGUGUUUUAGAGUUGGAAGAGUAAGAUAAGAACUUAACUGUAAGCUGUGUGUGACGCAGAUUGUUAAGCUGUGAUUAGCAUUGCAUAUCCCUCUGUACAUGUCUAUGUUGACUCGGUGGUCGGAGGUCCGCAGAUACCUCGCCAUCCGUGUGCCCAAUUCCCUGGGAUCAAUAUCAUGCAUUGAAGAAAAAUGCAAACCAUUGUGAAAGUUUCGCUCGCAUGCGCGUGCACAACUGUACCUUUGCUGAUGUAAAAAGCAAAGGGUUGUGCAGGAAAGCGAUGGAAAUAUAAGUUUCUUCAGUCGAUACGCACAGCGAUAAUGAACUCCUGAUUACCUCGUGCCUCAACUAUCACAAAUCUUUAAAAUCUCUCAGACAGAAACUACACUGCAUUCUUUGAAGUAUAAAACGUCGAUGUCACGAAAUAACAAGUGGAGUAGAGCAGUGGGUUGGUAAGGAGCGGUGUUGCGCUGGCUAUUAUUUCGAGAGAAUAAGGAUUCGCAUACCGCGCAUCUAACAGUGUAGGUCGUUAGGCAGGUGACAACUUUGCAACUUUGUCGGUCUUUAGUGAUUAUAAACCGACGCGGGUGUUCGGGUAUGGCAGGUAAGUUAGUCUCAGGUAAGGAAGGGAUUCCAGAAGCUGGGCGACUGUAAUUGUUUCCAGUUAGCGGCGAUGCGUGAUCGA